ACUGGGCGUGGUGGUGCACGCCUAUUGUCCCAGCUACUUAGGAGGCUGAGGUGGGAGGAUCGCUUGAGCACAGGAGGUCUAGGUUGCCAUGAGCUGUGAUGGUGCCACUGCACUCCAGCCUGGGUGACAGAGUGAGACUCUGUCUCAAAAAUAAUAAUAAUAGGCCAGGCGCCGUGGCUCAUGCCUGUAAUCCCAGCACUUUGGGAGGCCGAGGCGGGUGGAUUGCCUGAGCUCAGGAAUUCGAGACCAACCUGGACAACAAGGUGAAAUCCCAUCUCU
ensembl:misc_RNA Metazoa_SRP Metazoan signal recognition particle RNA